CCGCCCGUCACAUCACGAAGUCAGUUGCUCUUGAAGUCGCUGGGCUAACCGCAAGGAGGCAGGCGCCUACGGAGUGACUGGUGAUUGGGGUG
rnacentral:rRNA from 1 species